rnacentral:rRNA from 1 species
UGGCGGACGGGUGAGUAAUGCUGGGAAACUGCCUGAUGGAGGGGGAUAACUACUGGAAACGGUAGCUAAUACCGCAUAACGUCGCAAGACCAAAGAGGGGGACCUUGGGCCUCUUGCCAUCGGAUGUGCCCAGAUGGGAUUAGCUAGUAGGUGGGGUAAAGGCUCACCUAGGCGACGAUCCCUAGCUGGUCUGAGAGGAUGACCAGCCACACUGGAACUGAGACACGGUCCAG